rnacentral:rRNA from 1 species
GAUAAACGCUGGCGGCGUGCAUAACACAUGCAAGUCGAACGAAGUGGCGAACGGGUGAGUAACACGUGAGUAACCUGCCUUACACAAGGGGAUAGCCUUUGGAAACGAAGAAUAAUACCCUAUGGUGUAAGAUGGUCUUGCGUCUGAUUAGCUAGUUGGUGGGAUAAAGGCCCACCAAGGCAACGAUCAGUAGCCGGCUUGAGAGGGUGUACGGCCACAUUGGGACUGAGAUACGGCCCAAACUCCUACGGGAGGCAGCAGUGGGGAAUAUUGCACAAUGGGCGCAAGCCUGAGGCAGCCAUGCCGCGUGUAUGAAGAAGGCCUUCGGGUUGUAAAGUACUUUCAGCGAGGAGGCGUUACUCGCAGAAGAAGCACCGGCUAACUCCGUGCCAGCAGCCGCGGUAAUUC